rnacentral:rRNA from 1 species
UUGGAGGGCAAGUCUGGUGCCAGCAGCCGCGGUAAUUCCAGCUCCAAUAGCGUAUAUUAAAGUUGUUGCAGUUAAAAAGCUCGUAGUUGAAUUUCGGGAUCAAAUUGUCGGUCGUGCCUCGGUACGCACUGGUAUUAUUGGUUCCUACCUUCUGAAGAACCGCGAUGUCAUUAAUUUGGUGUCGUGGGGAAUCAGGACUGUUACUUUGAAAAAAUUAGAGUGUUUAAAGCAGGCUUACGCUUGAAUACAUUAGCAUGGAAUAAUGAAAUAGGACGUUUGAUUCUAUUUUGUUGGUUUCUAGGAUUGACGUAAUGAUUAAUAGGGAUAGUUGGGGGCAUUAGUAUUCAAUUGUCAGAGGUGAAAUUCUUGGAUUUAUUGAAGACUAACUACUGCGGAAGCAUUUGCCAAGGAUGUUUUCAUUAAUCAAGAACGAAAGUUAGGGGAUCGAAGACGAUCAGAUACCGUCGUAGUCUUAACCAUAAACUAUGCCGACUAGGGAUCGGAUGAUGUUAAUUUUUUAAUGACUCAUUCGGCGCCUUACGGGAAACCAAAGUGUUUGGGUUC